GAACACUUUUAGCAGUAACCACGACACAGUUUAACAACUUACGGGCGCAACGUCUAUAAUCUCCGGCUUCUCCCAGAUCAAAUACCCGUGUUGCCGAACUACAAUGAGUGUAAUAAUAAUUACUUUCCAUGGGACGGGGGUGGUGGUGGAGGGUGCUCGACCUGCGUAUCUUACGGUGGGUCCGCCGCAGGAGUUUGGCGAUCAAAACCAGAAAGCGUAACGUGCAAAACGGUUAUACGUGAAAUAGGUUCACAUCCAGUAUAUAUAAUAAAUAAUUAUUAUAAUGUGUAUAUGUAUAUGUGUACGUUGUAUAUCUUGGAAAACUUCAAAUUGGGUAUAACUUUAAAACAAAGUUUGAUAGCGGCGAGU